CAAAUUUUAGUUUAAUUAAAAUUAUUCAUUUACAUUGAAUUGAUAUAAAAUAUUUUAUAGAUUUGA
rnacentral:tRNA from 2 species